rnacentral:rRNA from 1 species
GGCUCAGGACGAACGCUGGCGGCGUGCUUAACACAUGCAAGUCGAACGAUGAACCACUUCGGUGGGGAUUAGUGGCGAACGGGUGAGUAACACGUGGGCAAUCUGCCCUUCACUCUGGGACAAGCCCUGGAAACGGGGUCUAAUACCGGAUAUCACUCCUGCAGGCAUCUGUGGGGGUUGAAAGCUCCGGCGGUGAAGGAUGAGCCCGCGGCCUAUCAGCUUGUUGGUGAGGUAACGGCUCACCAAGGCGACGACGGGUAGCCGGCCUGAGAGGGCGACCGGCCACACUGGGACUGAGACACGGCCCAGACUCCUACGGGAGGCAGCAGUGGGGAAUAUUGCACAAUGGGCGAAAGCCUGAUGCAGCGACGCCGCGUGAGGGAUGACGGCCUUCGGGUUGUAAACCUCUUUCAGCAGGGAAGAAGCGCAAGUGACGGUACCUGCAGAAGAAGCGCCGGCUAACUACGUGCCAGCAGCCGCGGUAAUACGUAGGGCGCAAGCGUUGUCCGGAAUUAUUGGGCGUAAAGAGCUCGUAGGCGGCUUGUCACGUCGGGUGUGAAAGCCCGGGGCUUAACCCCGGGUCUGCAUUCGAUACGGGCUAGCUAGAGUGUGGUAGGGGAGAUCGGAAUUCCUGGUGUAGCGGUGAAAUGCGCAGAUAUCAGGAGGAACACCGGUGGCGAAGGCGGAUCUCUGGGCCAUUACUGACGCUGAGAGCGAAA